GACCCAGUGGCGAAGUGGUCUCGCACCCGCUUAGCUUGAACCAGUGAGUUGAAAACGUUUCUGCGGAAGACACCGUUCGAUUCGGGUCUGGGUCA